GGAUGCGAUCAUACCAUCCGUAAAGCACCGGAUCCCAUAAGAACUCCGAAGUUAAGCGUGCUUGGACGAGAGUAGUACUAGGAUGGGUGACCUCCUGGGAAGUCCUCGUGUUGCAUUCC
rnacentral:rRNA from 1 species